rnacentral:tRNA from 1 species
CCUGAUAGCAAGUACUGCUGUACUGUCUGCGAGGCUACAACUCGCCGCCUAAACCUCGGCCAUACUACC